rnacentral:rRNA from 1 species
GAUCAACGCUGGCGGCGUGCAUGAGACAUGCAAGUCGAACGAAGGAUCGGGCUUGCUCGAUCCUUAGUGGCGGACGGCUGAGUAACGCGUAGGUGACCUACCCCGAAGUGGGGAAUAACUGCCCGAAAGGGUGGCUAAUACCGCAUGUGGUCGCACGUUCAUUCGUGCGAGUAAAGCCGCAAGGCGCUUCGGGAGGGGCCUGCGUCCGAUUAGCUCGUUGGUGGGGUAAUGGCUUACCAAGGCGACGAUCGGUAGGUGGUCUGAGAGGACGAUCACCCAGACUGGGACUGAGACACGGCCCAGACUCCUACAGGAGGCAGCAGUCGGGAAUUUUGCUCAAUGGGGGAAACCCUGAAGCAGCAACGCCGCGUGAGGGAUGAAGGCCUUCGGGUUGUAAACCUCUUUUGUCAGGGACGAUGAUGACGGUACCUGGCGAAUAAGCCACGGCUAACUACGUG